AGGCAGCGAAUACCUGUUGAAAGUGCUGAAGUGACAAUGCGACCACAACAAGAAAAAGAACAGAUUCUGAAGAACAGAACUGCAUCAGGACUCUCGGACAACUCACGAGAUAGUGGAAUCUCUGCAUUGUCAUUUGAAAGUGACAGAUAAAAGUAUAAAACAAAGUCGAAUCAAAAAGAAACUUUUUAAAAACAAAAAAAGUUAAAUGACAGUGUAGAACUGAAACUUAAUGCAGUAACUAAAAGCAAAAGAUGAAAUUCCUAUGGUUGUUUGUCAACAGAUCAUUCCAUUUAUAAUAAGCAAUUCACUUGCCUAACCAUGUUAUUAAACAUGAUUUAUGUGUAGCCAUGUAUAUUUCUUCCAUUCAAUCAUACCCGAUAAUUUCCGGACUGUAAUGUCAAAUGAAUCCAAUUUAAAAACAUUGUGUGAAUUAUUAUACUCUUUGUGUCAUUAUGGGUAAUAUUCUUGCCAAACUAUAUCAUAAGUCGUCCAUUAUUUGUUAUUGUUACCAUGACUGUGAUUUUUAACGUUUUGUAUUUUUCUUUGAUAUUUUCCGCUUCUUUUGAAUACUUGAUUGAUUUGUUUUACAUAAAAAAUAGAAAAAUCGGUAACUAACAAUGUAAUGCAAUAACAUUGGUGCUAAUAAUUAUGAUUCAUGGUUUGCAUAAUUAUUGUUACCCGUAUUUCACAUGCGAUAUGGAUUACAAUAAAAAAAAAUCCAAUAGCU
rnacentral:misc_RNA from 1 species